rnacentral:rRNA from 1 species
UGGAGCAUGUGUUUAAUUCGAAGCAACGCGAAGAACCUUUACCAGGUCUUGACAUCCCGAUGCUAUUUCUAGAGAUAGAAAGUUACUUCGGUACAUCGGUGACAGGUGCUGCAUGGUUGUCGUCAGCUCGUGUCGUGAGAUGUUGGGUUAAGUCCCGCAACGAGCGCAACCCCUAUUGUUAGUUGCCAUCAUUCAGUUGGGCACUCUAGCGAGACUGCCGGUAAUAAACCGGAGGAAGUGGGGAUGACGUCAAAUCAUCAUGCCCCUUAUGACCUGGGCUACACACGUGCUACAAUGGUUGGUACAACGAGUUGCGAGUCGGUGACGGCGAGCUAAUCUCUUAAAGCCAAUCUCAGUUCGGAUUGUAGGCUGCAACUCGCCUACAUGAAGUCGGAAUCGCUAGUAAUCGCGGAUCAGCACGCCGCGGUGAAUACGUUCCCGGGCCUU